AAUUAGCCCCGAUUGUAGUGUAUAUCCUUUUUGUGGGAGGAUUGGUGCGAAAAGGGAAAAAAGAUAGGAACGGAAAGCGGGAAAGUGU
rnacentral:sRNA from 1 species